GAUGAACGCUGGCGGCGUGCCUAAUACAUGCAAGUCGAGCGAACAGACGAGGAGCUUGCUCCUUUGACGUUAGCGGCGGACGGGUGAGUAACACGUGGGUAACCUACCUAUAAGACUGGGAUAACUUCGGGAAACCGGAGCUAAUACCGGAUAAUAUUUCGAACCGCAUGGUUCGAUAGUGAAAGAUGGCUCUGCUAUCACUUAUAGAUGGACCUGCGCCGCAUUAGCUAGUUGGUAAGGUAACGGCUUACCAAGGCAACGAUACGUAGCCGACCUGAGAGGGUGAUCGGCCACACUGGAACUGAGACACGGUCCAGACUCCUACGGGAGGCAGCAGUAGGGAAUCUUCCGCAAUGGGCGAAAGCCUGACGGAGCAACGCCGCGUGAGUGAUGAAGGUCUUCGGAUCGUAAAACUCUGUUAUUAGGGAAGAACAAACGUGUAAGUAACUGUGCACGUCUUGACGGUACCUAAUCAGAAAGCCACGGCUAACUACGUG
rnacentral:rRNA from 1 species